AGUGGCGGACGGGUGAGUAACGCGUAAGAAUCUAACUUCAGGACGGGGACAACAGUUGGAGACGACUGCUAAUACCCGAUGUGCCGCAAGGUGAAACCUAAUUGGCCUGGAGAAGAGCUUGCGUCUGAUUAGCUAGUUGGUGGGGUAAAGGCCUACCAAGGCGACGAUCAGUAGCUGGUCUGAGAGGAUGAGCAGCCACACUGGGACUGAGACACGGCCCAGACUCCUACGGGAGGCAGCGGUGGGGAAUUUUCCGCAAUGGGCGAAAGCCUGACGGAGCAACGCCGCGUGAGGGAGGAAGGUCUUUGGAUUGUAAACCUCUUUUCUCAAGGAAGAAGUUCUGACGGUACUUGAGGAAUCAGCCUCGGCUAACUCCGUGCCAGCAGCCGCGGUAAUACGGGGGAGGCAAGCGUUAUCCGGAAUUAUUGGGCGUAAAGCGUCCGCAGGUGGUCAGCCAAGUCUGCCGUCAAAUCAGGUUGCUUAACGACCUAAAGGCGGUGGAAACUGGCAGACUAGAGAGCAGUAGGGGUAGCAGGAAUUCCCAGUGUAGCGGUGAAAUGCGUAGAGAUUGGGAAGAACAUCGGUGGCGAAAGCGUGCUACUGGGCUGUAUCUGACACUCAGGGACGAAAGCUAGGGGAGCGAAAGGGAUUAGAUACCCCUGUAGUCCUAGCCGUAAACGAUGGAUACUAGGCGUGGCUU
rnacentral:rRNA from 1 species